rnacentral:tRNA from 2 species
GGAGAGGUGCCGGAGUGGUCGAACGGGGCGGUCUCGAAAACCGUUGAGCCUGAGAGGGUUCCCAGGGUUCGAAUCCCUGUCUCUCCGCCA